AGUGAACGCUGGCGGUAGGCCUAACACAUGCAAGUCGAACGGCAGCACAGUAAGAGCUUGCUCUUACGGGUGGCGAGUGGCGGACGGGUGAGGAAUACAUCGGAAUCUACUUUUUCGUGGGGGAUAACGUAGGGAAACUUACGCUAAUACCGCAUACGACCUACGGGUGAAAGCAGGGGAUCUUCGGACCUUGCGCGAUUGAAUGAGCCGAUGUCGGAUUAGCUAGUUGGCGGGGUAAAGGCCCACCAAGGCGACGAUCCGUAGCUGGUCUGAGAGGAUGAUCAGCCAAACUGGAACUGAGAAACGGUCCAGACUCCUAAGGGAGGCAGCAGUGGGGAAUAUUGGACAAUGGGCGCAAGCCUGAUCCAGCCAUACCGCGUGGGUGAAGAAGGCCUUCGGGUUGUAAAGCCCUUUUGUUGGGAAAGAAAAGCAGCAGGUUAAUACCCCGCUGUUCUGACGGUACCCAAAGAAUAAGCACCGGCUAACUUCGUG
rnacentral:rRNA from 1 species